rnacentral:tRNA from 1 species
UUGAUAGAAGCCAAAAAGAGGCAUAUCACUGUUAAUGAUAUAAUUGAACAUUAUCUCCUAUCAAU